GCCGGGCAUGGUGGCACAUGCCUGUAGUCCCAGCUACUUGGGAGGCUGAGGCGGGAGAAUCGCUUGAGCCCGGGAGGCGGAAGUUGCAGUGAGCCGAGAUCGCGCCACUGCACUCUAGCCUGGGCGACAGAGUGAGACUCCGUCUCAA
rfam:Pan troglodytes isolate Yerkes chimp pedigree #C0471 (Clint) chromosome 9, whole genome shotgun sequence.